rnacentral:lncRNA from 9 species
AGGCUAAGGACUGAAUUGGAGCUAUAGCUCUGGCCUAUGCCACAGCCAUGGAAUUACCGGAUUCAAGCAGCAGAUACAACCUAAGCCACAGCUUGCAGCAACACUGGAUUGGUAGCCCUCUGAGCAAGGCCAUGGAUUGAGCCCACAUCCUCACAGAGACAACACUGGGUCCUUAACCUGCUGAGACACAAUAUAAAGGAGGGGAAGUGGUUCUUCUGCAUUAAUUGCCUAUCAGUAAUAUGAUCAGUAUUCAGUCCACUGUAGUCUCCAUGUCCACAGUAUAAUUUUAAAGAAGAUAUUGAAGUUAUUCUAAACAAAGCACCGGUUUUAUACUUUUAAUAUUCUGUAAAUUUUUAUGGUAAUUUAAGGUGUAUUUUACCUUUUUUUUUUUUUUUUUUUUUUUUACUGAUGGAUGAGAGUUCUGAAGAAGACUCUUUAAACAGAUGCGUUGUCAGCAUUAGGAGUAGGAGGAGUUCCCAUCAUGGCUCAGUGGAAAUGAAUCUGACUAGCAUCC